UACGGAGGGUGCAAACGUUGCUCGGAAUCAUUGGGCGUAAAGCGCACGUAGGCGGCCUGUUAAGUCGGAUGUGAAAGCCCCGGGCUCAACCCGGGAAGUGCAUACGAAACUGGCGGGCUUGAAUAUGGAAGAGGGUCGCGGAAUUCCCGGUGUAGAGGUGAAAUUCGUAGAUAUCGGGAGGAACACCAGUGGCGAAGGCGGCGACCUGGGUCAAUAUUGACGCUGAGGUGCGGAAAGCGUGGGGAGCAAACAGGG
rnacentral:rRNA from 1 species